UUCCCUAAAAACUCAAUAGCUUUUAAGUUGAUUUGAGUUUUUUAGGCCAGUUUCACAAGCCACCUCCUCAUGUGCAAUUGUGUUUUUUUCCUCAGUUGCUCAUGCCUCAUAUUGGGUUAGUUUCACAUCAUCCCUCCUGGUGUGCAAUUUAGUUUUUUUAUGUGAAGAGUUGCACAUUAAAACUCUUGUCCUACACUUUUGCAAAUGAUUUUUUCUAGUUAGUUGCAUAGGAUCUCUAUUAAUGUGCAAUUUAGUUCAUUAGGGGGUGAGUUGCGCACUAAAACUCUUGAUUCACAAUUGAGUUCUUUUUGAGUUAGUUGCACAUCAUGUCUCUUGAUGUGCAAUUUAGUUUUUUUUAGGAGAGUUGCACAAUAAAACUCCUGAUAUUGCAAUUGAGUUUUUUUUUGACUUAGUUGCACAUCAUCUCUCUUGAUGUGCAAUUUAGUUUUUUAAGAGGUAUGUUGCACACUAAAACUCUUGAUAUGUAAUUGAGAUUUUGGGGGUUUAGUUGCACAUCAUAAUC
rnacentral:lncRNA from 1 species